AAGGAAGUGAACGUGUGCAGGGAGCAGCUUCUGGAGAAGGAGGAGGAGAUCGCCGAGCUGAAGGCCGAGAGAAACAACACACGGCUGCUGUUGGAGCACCUGGAGUGCCUGGUGUCCCGCCACGAGCGCAGUCUGAGGAUGACGGUGGUGAAGAGACAGGCACAGUCUCCAGCAGGCGUCUCCAGUGAAGUGGAGGUCCUCAAAGCCCUGAAGUCACUUUUUGAACACCACAAAGCCCUCGAUGAGAAGGUAAGGGAAAGACUACGUGUUGCCUUGGAGCGAUGCAGCGCUUUGGAGGAACAGCUCACCAUGUCGCACAAAGAA